UGACUGCCCAAUGGAUGAGAGAUGCAUGCAUUCAGUAGAGGAGACAGUUUGUCCUAGUGAUCAUCAAAAUUUAUGCAGGUGUACUUUAGGUUGUGAGAUUGAUAAUCUAAUUGUCCGUUAUGAACAGUGGCGACCCAUUCCAGGAAAAGGAUUCUGCAAGUGUAUCAAUUCUUUAACAAAUGAAUCAGACUGUGUGGAGCACUUAGACUUAUGAAUGAGACAGAUGAAAUAAAGAGAUGAUGAACAUUUUCAUGAAGUUUAAACUUAAAAGAUUCUCAUAAAUGCUGAUGUUGAGCAAGUUUUUUUUUUUUUUUUUUAAUUUCAUAUGUGUGCUCUAAUGAGACAAUACUUACACAUCUUCAAUAAUCCAUUUUAUCAAAAUUUUAAAGUUUGAACUAUAUUACUUAAAAAAUAUUAAGGUCACAAUGAACCAGGUAC